GACGAACGCUGGCGGCGUGCUUAACACAUGCAAGUCGAACGCUGAACCCGCUUCGGUGGGGGAUGAGUGGCGAACGGGUGAGUAACACGUGGGCAACCUGCCCCCGGCUCUGGGAUAACUCCAAGAAAUUGGGGCUAAUACCGGAUGUGACCGCUGGCCGCAUGGUCUGGUGGUGGGAAGGGUUUCCGGCUGGGGAUGGGCCCGCGGCCUAUCAGCUUGUUGGUGGGGUAGUGGCCUACCAAGGCGCCGACGGGUAGCCGGCCUGAGAGGGUGACCGGCCACACUGGGACUGAGACACGGCCCAGACUCCUACGGGAGGCAGCAGUGGGGAAUAUUGCGCAAUGGGCGGAAGCCUGACGCAGCGACGCCGCGUGGGGGAUGACGGCCUUCGGGUUGUAAACCUCUUUCAGCAGGGACGAAGCGCAAGUGACGGUACCUGCAGAAGAAGCACCGGCCAACUACGUG
rnacentral:rRNA from 1 species